AUCCCUCCACCAUGGAAUUGGAAUCCUAUAAACAAAAUCUGUACCCGACAAGAUCAGUAUGAAGCUUAUUUCAAUGGCGAAAUCUCAUUUGCCUGCAUAUGCUUCCUCUUCCGCAAAAAUCCACCCCGAGAUAGACCCCAAUUCCUACUCCCUUGAGAAGUUCAAGCUUUAGGAGACCAGAGCGAGGUUCUAUUUAAUUGGGAGUGACAGGAACAAGAGGUUUUUUCGAGUGUUGAAAAUUGAUCGAUCAGAGCCGUCUGAUCUAAAUAUCAGCGAGGAUCCGGUGGUAUAUUCCCCUCAGGAAAUAAAAAACUUACUUCAAUUUAAUUGGGAGUGACAGGAACAAGAGGUUUUUUCGAGUGUUGAAAAUUGAUCGAUCAGAGCCGUCUGAUCUAAAUAUCAACGAGGAUCCGGUGGUUUAUUCCCCCUCAGGAAAUCAAAAACUUGCUUCAAUUUAAUUGGGAGUGACAGGAACAAGAGGUCUUUUUUUUUUGGGGUGGUUGCAUUAAGUUUUUGGAGUCAUAUUAUUUGAUUUUGGUUACCAAGCGAAGGCAAAUUGGAUGUAUAUGCGGUCAUGCAAUAUACAGUAUAGAUGAACCCAAUUGAUUAUCUUCCUCAUGUUUCUAUUCAAUCAGAUGUGGCGCAUUGGAAAAUCGAACUCAGACCGUUGAGAAAAGGCUGCGGGAAAUGAUGCUAAGGCGUGAGUUUGCAGAUGCAGUUGGGUAUCUUAACACAAGUUCGAUUUAUAAACUGGGACUUCCAUAAUUUGCAAAGAGCAAGUCUGCCAAUGUUGUAUCUGUUUUGGGUGGCGCGGCAAGUGAAGCACUUGACUUGACUGGUUUUUUCUAUGGUGGUAAACCAAGCAUCGUUAAGAGGAAAACCAACCAACGUAGUCGAACUGGAAGAGAUGCUUCUCUAAGAGAGUUGCGUGCCAGUUCAGGGGACCUUGCAAGGCUUGCAAGUAGUGGUGAGAAUUUAAGUUCUACGAUUAAUUGAGAAAGAGGUGCGGAUUUUGGCCAACAAAAUAGAAAAGACAACCAUGAUGUUGCCUAGUAUGCUUAUGGGCUUGCUGCUUUGGGCCGCCAGCUUCAUGCAAUGGGUUUGACAGACAUGCCAAAAGUUGACCCUAAUAGCAGCAUAGCUCCAGCUCUUAUGGGGGAUCCUCUUCACAACAUAUG